UACGUAGGGUCCGAGCGUUGUCCGGAAUUAUUGGGCGUAAAGGGCUCGUAGGCGGUUUGUCGCGUCGGGAGUGAAAACUCAGGGCUCAACCCUGAGCGUGCUUCCGAUACGGGCAGACUAGAGGUAUGCAGGGGAGAACGGAAUUCCUGGUAUAGCGGUGAAAUGCGCAGAUAUCAGGAGGAACACCGAUGGCGAAGGCGGUUCUCUGGGCAUUACCUGACGCUGAGGAGCGAAAGUGUGGGGAGCGAACAGG
rnacentral:rRNA from 1 species